rnacentral:rRNA from 1 species
CCUACGGGAGGCAGCAGUAGGGAAUCUUCCACAAUGGACGAAAGUCUGAUGGAGCAACGCCGCGUGAGUGAAGAAGUAAUUCGUUAUGUAAAGCUCUAUCAGCAGGGAAGAAAAUGACGGUAACUGAGUAAGAAGCCCCGGCUAACUACGUGCCAGCAGCCGCGGGAAUACGUAGGGGGCAAGCGUUAUCCGGAUUUACUGGGUGUAAAGGGAGCGUAGACGGCAGUGCAAGUCUGGAGUGAAAGGCGGGGGCUCAACCCCCGGACUGCUCUGGAAACUGUACGGCUGGAGUGCAGGAGAGGUAAGUGGAAUUCCUAGUGUAGCGGUGAAAUGCGUAGAUAUUAGGAGGAACACCAGUGGCGAAGGCGGCUUACUGGACUGUAACUGACGUUGAGGCUCGAAAGCGUGGGGAGCAAACAGGAUUAGAUACCCCAGUAGUC